rnacentral:lncRNA from 1 species
UGGUGGAAGUCAGGAGGAUAAGACAGAUAUACAAAUAAUAUGGGACAGAGAUAGUUUGCAAAAAGUUCAUAAGAUCUGUAUCAGUCCAUAUGUCAUAAACUACAGAAAAAACAUGAAAGAAUGAGCAAACAGAAAAGCUAGAUAUGGCUAAACUUGAACAUUGUCAAUUGAACAUAUUUAACUCAGUGAAAUUAUGAGCUCCUUGUUUCCAGAAGUCCUGGAGCAAAAGGAGAUGAGAAGUGAACACUUGCCAGAGUUUGGACUGGAUAAACUUGAGGUCCACUCUAGCUCCAGUUUUAUAGACACAAUUUUUCUCAGGUCCUAUUCGUGGAGGUGGAUAAUUAGGCCCUAAGUCUUAGAAGAAAUGCCAAAAAAAAAAAUCAUGAUUAUGCCUGUGCUAUUAUAUAAUAAUUUCAAUGUACAUUUAGCACCCCAAAAUAAAUAAAUAGAUGGUUUCUACCCAAAAGACUUACAAAAUAAAUUCAAAGCUUUCAUGUUAUUCAAAAGGAAAGUGAAUGGUUUUUAACAUCUAAAAUGUUCAGUUAGGAAGACAUCUACCUUUUACCCAAACCUAUAUCCUCUCUAAAUGAAAUUAUUGCUGCCUUCAAGUAAAUUUCCCUAAUAAUUGGAAUCUAUGGUAUUGACUCAAAGGAUUUCAGGAGUUUCAUAAAUAAAGCAAUUUCUAAUUAUGAGAAGCAAAAAAUUUAUAAAAGAUUCAUGAUCAUACUAAUUUUUAAAAUUAGUAUAGCAUUACUACUUUUUAAUAACAAUGAAGGUAAAUAAAAUGACUUUUAAACCAUAUAUUAAACAAAUAGCACGUAAAAAAAACAAUGAAAUUACAAAAUCUGAAAACUAUUUUCUUCACUCUGACAAAAAAAACUAAUUAUAACCCAGCUAUCUAAUAGAAAAACAUUUUAGUAAUUCUUCUCUGAUAAUAAAAAUAAUACAUCAAACAAAAACAACCAAUAUUAAUAUAUUUUCUUUCAUUUUUCUAUGCAUGUAUAUGUGUGUAAUUGAGACAUAAAAACACAUAUAUUUUGGAUUAAAGUGAAAUUAUGUUGUUUUAUAUUUUGCUUUCUCCAUAUAAGAUUAUAAUGUAUGCCUUUUCCUAUUCAUUAUAAUUCUUCAAAAAUGGACAUUUUUGAUGCCUAUGUAACAUUGUUUCUUUUGGAAACAGCAUGUCAUAUUUAAGCAAGCUCUACUGUUAUUCAUUUAGAUUC